rnacentral:rRNA from 1 species
CCUACGGGGGGCUGCAGUCGAGAAUCUUUCACAAUGGGGGCAACCCUGAUGGAGCGACGCCGCGUGGAGGAUAAGGUCUUCGGAUUGUCAACUCCUGUCAUGCGAGAACAAGGUUGCAGGGCUAACACCUUUGCAAAUUGAUGGUACCGCAAGAGGAAGAGACGGCUCACUCUGUGCCAGCAGCCGCGGUAAUACAGAGGUCUCAAGCGUUGUUCGGAAUCGCUGGGCGUAAAGGGUGCGUAGGUGGCGUGACAGCCCGGGGCUCAACCUCGGAAUUGCAUCCGAGACGGCCAUGCUGGAGUACUGAAGAGGUGACUAGAAUUCUAGGUGUAGCAGUGAAAUGCGUAGAUAUCGAGAGGAAUACCAACGGCGAAGGCAGGUCACUGGGCAGUGACUGACACUGAGGCACGAAGGCCAGGGGAGCAAACGGGAUUAGAUACCCUAGUAGUC